UAAAUUAUCACGUUGUGAUUGGUUUAACGCCGUCACGUGGUGACCCCCUAUGGAUCUUAUAGGAGUUAGUAAAUUUCAUAGGGGGUUCAUGGCGUCACGUCUACUGUUAACGGUGACGUCAUCUAUUAAUGUUGUGUUUUAUUGUUUAUUUUUCUACAAAACGCAGCAGAAAAAGUCCCGCGUGCGAUAAAUUCGUUAUACGACUCACUACUGACCCCCUACGGACCAUAGAGGUGAAUAAAAUCCAUAGGGGAUUCGGCCUUUGGCCUCACCCCCUAUGGAUUUUACUAAUCCUCUAUGGAUCAGUAGGGGGUCAGUAGCGAACCAUAUAACUUAUACUGUCGUGCAGAGAAUCCCAGGAAUAGUAGAAAUUGAAAGAUCUUCUACCUUAGGUAAAAUAAGAAUAAAGUAAACACUUCAAAUUUUUUAGAGAAACGAUUACCUUCAUUUUUAUUACAAGGGAACACAAUUUUUUUUCUGAUGAUAUUCUUUUUAAAAAUGAUUAGUUUUGAAGUCUUUAGUUGCUACUCCAGGGUUUUAUAUAUAAGAUAUUAGUUCUCUGAACAAUCUUUAACUACUGAGCUUUAAGCAGCAAUAAAUAGUGCUUUGUUUUACAUUGACUAGGACGUCUAGUAAGAUUUGUUCAACUACGCAAUAAUUAUUUUCCUAUGCAUUUGUAUAUUUCUUUGUACUGCCAGCAUUGUUAUUUCAUUUAUUUAGACUCUGUUAAACAUUCCUGUUUUUCAUUGCCUGCAUGUACCUAAUCCUACAGCAUAACAAAUAUGUAUUUUUUUAAUAGUUUUAAUUGCUUCAAAAGCUGUAGAAUUGGAAAUAAAUGAAAAAUCCGAGGAAAGAACAUAUUCAUGUGACCUAAAACAAAUUUGUUGAAGUUUUGUUUUAACUAUUAUUUUUAUUUAGCUUGAAUGCUGCAAGUGACUGUGUGCCAAAGUUUGCAAUGCCUGGAUAAAUAAUGAGACUUUAUUUUAAUAUAAUUCUUAGAGCAGUAAAACUGCAGUAAUUUAACCCCAAUUACACUACAGUGUUUAUAUUAUUUAUUUAAUGUAGAAUAUAUGAAUUAGAUAUUACAGAGACAAGUCUUAUGUAUUUAUAAGAUCUAUUUCAGUGUUUCCAUGGAAGUAUGUUUGUUUAUGGUUAUUUUUGUAGAUUCUUUUUCUUUUGACCUACUGCACUUUAUUAACUCUGCUUACUUAAAAUUAAACUACCCAUUACUUCUAGUCAAAUUUGAAUAUUGUAAAAUUUAAUAAUUUCUGAAUCAAAUAUAUAAAUAAAUUUCUUUUUUUGCACAAGUUUCUGAGAAUUUCAAACAUAUAAAUUAUGACUGUAAUCAUGUAUGGUCAUAGGCUGUUUAAAAACAAAUAAUGAGAAACAGCGAAGGUCUAUUUCAUUCACUGUUGGUCAGAAGAUGUUGUGAUACAAAGAAUAACAAUUUGUCAAAUCAUAUCUCCUCUCAUCAUUUUAGUACGACGUUUAUUUGUAUAUUUGUCAUGGCUAAGAUUUAUAAUGUUUUUAAAACAUACAUUGUACUGUCAUAAGAACAUGCCUUAAUUUGUACAAUAAACAUAAAAAAUGCAACGUAAA
rnacentral:lncRNA from 1 species